rnacentral:rRNA from 1 species
UACGAAGGGGGCUAGCGUUGCUCGGAAUGACUGGGCGUAAAGGGCGCGUAGGCGGCUUGGCAAGUCAGGCGUGAAAUUCCUGGGCUCAACCUGGGGGCUGCGCUUGAGACUGCUGGGCUUGAGGAUGGAAGAGGCUCGUGGAAUUCCCAGUGUAGAGGUGAAAUUCGUAGAUAUUGGGAAGAACACCGGUGGCGAAGGCGGUCUGCUGGGCAGUUGCUGACGCUGAUGCGCGACAGCGUGGGGAGCAAACAGG